rnacentral:rRNA from 1 species
GAUGAACGCUGGCGGCGUGCUUAACACAUGCAAGUCGAACGAUGAAGCCCAGCUUGCUGGGUGGAUUAGUGGCGAACGGGUGAGUAACACGUGAGUAACCUGCCCUUGACUCUGGGAUAAGCGCUGGAAACGGCGUCUAAUACCGGAUACGAGCUUCCACCGCAUGGUGAGUUGCUGGAAAGAAUUUCGGUCAAGGAUGGACUCGCGGCCUAUCAGGUAGUUGGUGAGGUAACGGCUCACCAAGCCGACGACGGGUAGCCGGCCUGAGAGGGUGACCGGCCACACUGGGACUGAGACACGGCCCAGACUCCUACGGGAGGCAGCAGUGGGGAAUAUUGCACAAUGGGCGCAAGCCUGAUGCAGCAACGCCGCGUGAGGGACGAAGGCCUUCGGGUCGUAAACCUCUUUUAGCAGGGAAGAAGCGAAAGUGACGGUAUCUGCAGAAAAAGCACCGGCUAACUACGUG